rnacentral:rRNA from 1 species
AGUUCGGAUCGGAGUCUGCAACCCGACUCCGUGAAGCUGGAUUCGCUAGUAAUCGCGCAUCAGCCAUGGCGCGGUGAAUACGUUCCCGGGUCUUGUACACACCGCCCGUCACACCAUGGGAGUCGGAAAUGCCCGAAGUCAGUGACCUAACCGAAAGGGAGGAGCUGCCGAAGGUGGAGCCGGUAACUGGGGUGAAGUCGUAACAAGGUACC